GGGGAUGUAGCUCAGAGUUAGAGCACUUGCCUAGCAUACAUGAGGCUCUGGGUUCAAGUGCCAGCCCCCCCC
rnacentral:tRNA from 1 species